rnacentral:tRNA from 1 species
AAAAUCCGUUGGUUCCAAAGGACC